rnacentral:tRNA from 1 species
GCCUUCGUGGUGUAAUGGUCAGUAUACUGAGCCGGUAUUUCAGAGGUCCGUGGUUCGAUUCCCGGCGAAGGAA